ensembl:antisense
GGUAACGGAAAAUUUGGCACGUUCUACGAAGGCUAUUAAAAUAAAGCUCACAAAAGAUAAAUCUGUAAUAUCACCCAAGAGAAAGCAAGCCUCCCCUAAGUCCAGAAAGGAAAAACGACAGCAAAGGAAAGAGCAGAGAGAGGAAAGACGACAGCAAAGGAAAGAGCAGAGAGAGGAAAGACGACAGCAAAGGAAAGAGCAGAGAGAGGAAAGACGAGAGCAGAGAGAGGAAAGACGUCAGCAAAGGAAACAGCAGAGAGCUGCUUCAAGGGCUGUAAAGAAAGAGCUUAGGGAGAUUACAUCUAAACUGGCACUUCUGAAAAAGCAAACAUCAUUUGUCAUAAAUAAUAGCUUAGGUAAAUCCAAGACCAGACACCCCAAACUCAACGAGAAAAGCACACUUGAAACCUUUGAAGAAGCAAAGAAUCUACUUUCCUUAGCAGAGGAAAUCUUCAAUGCAUCUAUGAGGGGACAACCAACACCUGCUCAGAUAUUGUUGUCUUCACCUAAUUCAAUGAUUUCUAGUACCAGUGCAGGACCUGCUCCCACUAAGAGUUCAACCACAGCCCCGGUGAUUAGCACUACUACCUUAGUACCAUCAACCACUACCUCAGCAACAGAGACUACAUCCACAAAGCCUUCAGAAGAUUCCACACAUACAGGUACUUCCUUUAGUCCUACAACUUCGGCCUCUGUCUCUACCACUAUAUCUGCUUCUACCUCAGAGGUCUCAGAAACUGAAGCAAACACCGAAGAUAUGACCACCACCCAAGCUAUGGAUGGUUCUACCACUCAAGCUGCCUCUAAAACUUCAACAAGCAUAAGUACCACACCUCGUGUCACCACUACAAACACCACCUCUGUGCUUACUGGAGACAAAUCUAAAACAAAUUUCACUACUCAAGGGAUUGAGGCCACCACCAGUGGUAGCACAUUGUCAUCAACCAGCAAGGCCACAUCUCUUGCUCCUGCCACUACAAAAAUACCCACAACAUCUGCCUUUGUUUCUGUUGGUUCUACCAGGAAUGCAUCACAAGGCAUCACAUCUGCAUCACGUUCUACUAGUAGUGCACCUAUCACUGUCACAACUACAAAAAACGUGACUACCACAUUAGUAACUACAACUGUCACUCAAACAGCAAAUAACACAAGCAAUGAAACUACAACCCAAGUGCAUGUAGGAACCACUAAGUCAACAACUGGCACAACUUCUGUAGCCAUAUGAUGCCUCUCAGUGCUGUUACCAAGUGAUUCUAUGAUCUCAAAGACAAACUACACAUCUAUAGUCACCACCUCAGCUGCUAGGUCCAUAACUACAAAACUUCUGAAAGCUAUCGUCCCAAUCUCUGGAACAAAUACAGCUACCACUGUGGCUAUAUCUUCCCCCCAGAAAUUCAAAUGUUGCAAGCAAUGCAGUCCUUGUGGAUACAUCCUCUUCUACCUCUGUGGCUCCCUCCUUCACUGCUCAACAUGUGAAUUUGGGUAAAAAUUACACUCAGGCUUCUGGAGCUACAACUCCACAGCAGGAGGCUUCCCCAUGAACCACAGGAAAAUAAAAUUUCUGAAGAGAUACCACAGCUCCAUCACUGAGGCCCCAACUUCUCCAGCUGACUCUACAACCUUAGAAAUAGGCACCACAACUAUAACUACCAUCACAUCUGUAUAGCUACUGGCCACGACAUCUGUGGUUACUUCAUUAACAACCACAAUCCCCAUAGCAGCCACUACUGCCCCUGCAACCUCUACAUCUUCAGUUUCAGAUGUCACAAUUACUACCAGAGCCAGUGUGCCAUCAUUUCCCACAAUUGCAAUUACUCAAUUACAGGAAUGAUUGUUCAGCUGCGGAAAUCAUGGCUCCAAUGGACUAGACUGAAACUCUAGUCAUGAAAAACACAGCCUCAGCUUAAGCUACCUCUGCUACUAACAGCACAGGACACUACUGCUACUACAACUACAGACAAAAAAUUGAUGAUAAUAUAUCAUUAUUAAUAAAGAAAAUCUGAGCAGAAAAAAUAUAAUCUAGAAAAAUUUGAAGAAACAAGACACAUUAUAAUUCAUUAUAGAUCUAUACUGUAAAAUGACUAAGAUGGAACUACAGAUGUGGCUCAGUAGUAGAACAUUUCCCAGGUAGGCAUGAGGAUCUAGAUUCAAUCCCUAACAUUAAAAAGAUAAAAAUAAAAAAGCUAUUAACAUUAAGGUAGCAGAAAUAGACUAUUUCAAAACAAUGCCAUAGUGAGUUUUAUUUAAGGUUUUAUAGAUAUUAGUGCUAUAUGGAUAAAGGUAUUCAAGACAGCAAUCAUAACGGACAAGGCCAUUCAUUGAUAUAGUGAAGUAGAGGUGACAUGCAAUAUUCUAAAUCUAUAAUGUGAGAAAAUAUGAUCUACUCUAACAGAAUUGACAGUAGCCAGGAAGGUGGAGGGCCUUUCGGGGCUACACAGAACAAAAUGGAUAAGAACUGGAAAUAGUAGAAAUAGAAAAGAGCAAUUCUGAAACAUUUAUGGUUAUGGUAUGGUACAUUGAAUUCAUUUGAUCAUUUUUACGUCCUAAAAUUUUUCUAUAUUCAGCUGCACACCCUAAUAAUUGCAAAUAUUGAUCAAGAACUUACUGCCAUCCCUCUGAAUGAUGACAUAAUUCUAGAAAUCAUGCUACUUUCAGUCUCCCACUUUCUAAAUGUAUUCACUUUUAUUUCUUCAGCUUUUGUUCAAUAAAUCAUUUUAAAAUGUA